rnacentral:rRNA from 1 species
AUGCUUGCUGUCGGCGAGCCCCGCCGAGUUCCAUCUCCGGGCACGGGACCUCCCCGGCCCCGCGAAAGCGCGCCGGCCACCUGCCGCCACCGGGAACGACGACGACGCCGCCGCAGGAGGCAGCCUCGCCGUGCCCUCUCCUGGAGGCGCUGCGAGCGGCGCGGCGACGAGCGCAAUGGCGCAGAGGAGAGCGCACAGGAGGAGCAGCGGCAGCGCAGGAGCACUCCAUCCUCCCGCGCAUCGAGCUGUUGCCAUGCAAGAAUCCACCAACAGGAGCAGCUCGCCUGCCUUCCUUCCUUCCUCGCUUGUCGCCGCCGGAUCUCACGAGCCUCCACCGACGACCAUGAACGCCGCGCCGGCAAUGCAGCAGGCCAGAGCUAA